rnacentral:pre_miRNA from 1 species
CACAUACUCCCUCCGUUCCAAAAAAUUUGUCUUAGAUUUGUCUAAAUAUGAAUAUAUCUAGUGAUGUUAUAGUAUUUAGAUACAUCUAUUUCUAGACAAACCUAAGACAAGAAUUUUGGGACGGAGGGAGUACUUU